rnacentral:rRNA from 1 species
GACGAACGCUGGCGGCGUGCCUAAUACAUGCAAGUAGAACGCUGAAGGAGGAGCUUGCUUCUCUGGAUGAGUUGCGAACGGGUGAGUAACGCGUAGGUAACCUGCCUGGUAGCGGGGGAUAACUAUUGGAAACGAUAGCUAAUACCGCAUAACAGUAGAUAUCGCAUGAUAGCUGCUUGAAAGGUGCAAUUGCACCACUACCAGAUGGACCUGCGUUGUAUUAGCUAGUUGGUGAGGUAACGGCUCACCAAGGCGACGAUACAUAGCCGACCUGAGAGGGUGAUCGGCCACACUGGGACUGAGACACGGCCCAGACUCCUACGGGAGGCAGCAGUAGGGAAUCUUCGGCAAUGGACGGAAGUCUGACCGAGCAACGCCGCGUGAGUGAAGAAGGUUUUCGGAUCGUAAAGCUCUGUUGUAAGAGAAGAACGAGUGUGAGAGUGGAAAGUUCACACUGUGACGGUAUCUUACCAGAAAGGGACGGCUAACUACGUGCCAGCAGCCGCGGUAAUACGUAGGCCCCGAGCGUUGUCCGGAUUUAUUGGGCGUAAAGCGAGCGCAGGCGGUUAGAUAAGUCUGAAGUUAAAGGCUGUGGCUUAACCAUAAUACGCUUUGGAAACUGUUUAACUUGAGUGCAAGAGGGGAGAGUGGAAUUCCAUGUGUAGCGGUGAAAUGCGUAGAUAUAUGGAGGAACACCGGUGGCGAAAGCGGCUCUCUGGCUUGUAACUGACGCUGAGGCUCGAAAGCGUGGGGAGCAAACAGG